UACUGAAAACUAUUUCACACAUUUUGGACUAUGGUACCAAUUUUGCUGUGCUUUUCUAAGUAGAAGCAGAAGUAAUAUUACCUUUAUAGUCUAAUGGAAAUUCACCAUAUUUCUGCAUUGUCUGUAUAAGAGAAUAAAUUGCAUAGAUGUAUUUUUCAGGACACAGUUUAAUGAAGCAGCAAAAUAUGAAUUUAUGAUUUUGGAUGACAAUGAAAAUACCUUUUCGAUUCUCAGAGCAUAAUUGAGGACAUCUAAUAGCAACGUAUAUUACCCAUCCCAUCCCACUCCCACAAACAUAGACUAGAAGAACAUGGGCCAAAACAUUUAUGAAGGAAAAGACCUUGGUUAACAACAAGAGAUCAAUCGGUUGAUUAUCUAUAUCCAAAAUGCAAUAAAAAUCAGACAGAACAUCCCUCAACUAAAAUCUUCUUCAUCUUCUUCACAAGACUCUAUGAUACCUCUCAUAUACCAUUGGACUAUAAUCUGCAGUAAAUGAGGUUGCAUAUCCCUAACAGCCUUUUCUAUGGUCUUUUCUGCGACUUCGACAAUGGCUAAUUUAUCUUUGUGUCGGCAGUAGAAACUCAAAAUUCUUCAAACUAGGAUCUUCAAGUUCCACGUCAAAAAGGUUCCUAGGAGGUAGGUGGAUGUGAUAAUUUAUAUACAUUACACAACCACUUAGAAGAGCAUUCAUAACAAAUAUCUACAUAAUCAACGUAACGAUGUCUCUAAUGUUUUCCAACACAACACCAUGUUUAAAAUUAAGAUGCACAUAAGAUGUACAUAAUUCUCCUAUUCAGCUUUGCUCUCUAACAUUUAUUAGUCAUCUAUUCAUCGAGCAGAAGAAAGCACAAAAAAUGAUGUAAUUAUUUACGAAUUAUAAAUUAGGAAGAAGGAAAAAAGAUCUUUCAAGUUAAUUUUUGUAAAAUUGAAA
rnacentral:sRNA from 1 species